CUCCGAAUACCCGGGAGUACUAGAUGGCAGACACACGGCGGAUGCUAACGUCCGUCGUGGAGAGGGCAACAACCCUGACCACCAGCUAAGGUCCCCAAGUUAUGGCUAAGUGGGAAAGGAUGUGAAGAUUCCAAAACAACCAGGAUGUUGGCUUAGAAGCAGCCAUCAUUUAAAGAAAGCGUAACAGCUCACUGGUCUAAAUAAGAGUCUUUGCGCCGAAAAUGUAACGGGGCUUAAGCCAUACACCGAAGCUGUGGGUUCAUCUCUUAGGAGGUGAGCGGUAGCGGAGCGUUCCGUAGGCCUGUGAAGGCGGACCCGUGAGGGCUGCUGGAGGUAUCGGAAGUGCGAAUGCUGACAUGAGUAACGAUAAAGGGAGUGAGAGACUCCCUCGCCGAAAGUCCAAGGGUUCCUGCUUAAAGUUAAUCUGAGCAGGGUUAGCCGGCCCCUAAGGCGAGGCCGAAAGGCGUAGUCGAUGGGAACCACGUUAAUAAUCGUGGGCCUGGAGGAAGUGACGGAUUGCGUGUGUCGUACGGUCUUAUUGGAUUGAUCGUGCGGCGAAGUGGUCCCAGGAAAUAGCUCCUCCGUAUAGACCGUACCCGAAACCGACACAGGUGGACUGGUAGAGUAUACCAAGGCGCUUGAGAGAACUAUGUUGAAGGAACUCGGCAAAUUGCACGCGUAACUUCGGAAGAAGCGUGACCCUCAUUCACGCAAGUGGGUGAGGGUGGCACAGACCAGGGGGUAGCGACUGUUUAUCAAAAACACAGGGCUCUGCGA
rnacentral:rRNA from 1 species